GACGCUAUUCGCUAGGAGUUGCAGCAAGAGCUGUAAUAGCAGAUGGAGGAGCAGUGGGUAGAGGCACUAGAGGAGCAGUGACAACUAUGGAGGCACAAUAGUCGCAAUGGAGUGGCAGAUGCAAAAGCAAAUGGAGGACAUGUGACGCCUCAUUGCAGAGAUAAUACGUUUCGACUAGCUUGCACCUUUACAGAUCCUCCUUCACUCGCCUCUGAUCUUGAUCAUUGAUCUAUUGGCUAUUAACUACAGACUGCUUUUAUAUUUUUUUUAUUUUAUUCAUAGUUUUAUACAUUCUAUAUACUUUAUGAUAUUAUAUUUUGUAUUCAAG
rnacentral:lncRNA from 1 species